UUAUGAGUAGAUUGGUUAGAGGAAGUAUAAGUCACAAGUGGACACAAGUGAGAUUAAAAUAAUAUAAAAUGAAAAAUAAAAAAAGGAAAAGUAAAUAACUAGUAACGGAGUCCGUUAGGGAAAAAGGGGGGAAAGAAAGGGGGCAUAACAAAUUGAAGAGAGAGAAACACCUCCUUCCUCAAUAUUUCUGAAGAACAAGAUAGAAAAAUGCCUCAUCAUCUCCUCACCAUUUCUGCAGAAAAUCAAUUCUUCAAGGAAAAGAGAGACGGUUUCUUAUACUCCCCGAAUUGACAUGAUGACCUUUCUUGUUCAUGGUUUAUUAUCUCGUCCUCCAUCGGAGUGGACAUUAUGGUGUUUGUGACGUUUAUUACCAUGUUGUAUGGCUGGAUUAUCCUUUUUGGUACCCUUAUUUUAUUCUCGCUUUUGGAUUCUCCUUUUUUGGGAACUUUAUAUUGUAUUUUUAUUAAGUGUUAUGACGUUUGAUAUUAUUGUAUUUUUUAUCAAGUGUUAUGACGUUUGAUAUUAUUGUAUUUUUAUUAAGUGUUAUGACGUUUGAUAUAAUAAGCCUUGAAUUUAACAGUAA